rnacentral:rRNA from 1 species
UAUGGCGAAUUGUAGUCUAUAGAGGGCGUGGUCAGUGUGAGCACUUGGGGGCAAGUUCCUUGGAAGAGGACAGCAUGGAGGGUGAUACUCCCGUUUAUCCCUAAGUAGCUUGUGCGUACGACCCGUUUUCUUUGAGUCGCGUUGUUUGAGAAUGCAGCGCAAAGUAGGUGGUAAAUUCCAUCUAAAGCUAAAUAUUGGUGCGAGACCGAUAGCGAACAAGUACCGUGAGGGAAAGAUGAAAAGAACUUUGAAAAGAGAGUUAAAGAGUACCUGAAACUGCUGAAAGGGAACCGAAUCGUUUCCAGUGUCUAUAAUCCGUGGUAUAUUUCAUUGGCGAGUGUGUGCGUGCGUGUGUUCUGGCAGCGGCUAUUAUGUGGCUGCGCUAGUCGCGUGUGUUGUGUGUGCUUGUUGGUGCCCUGUGCUGCGGUGGGACGUCAAAGUCAGUUCUUAUACUGUGUGAGAUGGCUGCUAUGUGAAGGUAGGGCUUACGCUUGCGUUUGUCUGUUAUAUCCUGGUCAGUUGCGUACUCGCGGUUGGGACUGAGGUGCCUACAAUGUGCUUUUGAGUGGGCUUGUAACUUUGUUUACGAAACAUGCAGAUUGCUUGCAAUGUGUGUGUGGCUGUGAAUAAAUUAUUUGGGGCAAGCUUUAACUCG